CCCGACUCCUGUAAGACAAAAGAAACCUAGAUAAAUCUACGAAACAUAAUCCUAACCCACAAAUAAAGCCUCACAUCCCGAGAUUAGGAAAAUGAGCGUAGCCAAACAAGCCUUUAAGCUCAAAGUGCUCCAAAACUAAGUUCAGCUAGAAAAAGAGACCAAGCAUGAGCAGCAUUUUGAAACAACCGUGGGCCCCAAUGCAUAGG
rnacentral:lncRNA from 1 species